rnacentral:rRNA from 1 species
UGAACGCUAGCUACAGGCUUAACACAUGCAAGUCGAGGGGCAGCAUGGUCUUAGCUUGCUAAGGCCGAUGGCGACCGGCGCACGGGUGAGUAACACGUAUCCAACCUGCCGUCUACUCUUGGACAGCCUUCUGAAAGGAAGAUUAAUACAAGAUGGCAUCAUGAGUCCGCAUGUUCACAUGAUUAAAGGUAUUCCGGUAGACGAUGGGGAUGCGUUCCAUUAGAUAGUAGGCGGGGUAACGGCCCACCUAGUCUUCGAUGGAUAGGGGUUCUGAGAGGAAGGUCCCCCACAUUGGAACUGAGACACGGUCCAAACUCCUACGGGAGGCAGCAGUGAGGAAUAUUGGUCAAUGGGCGAGAGCCUGAACCAGCCAAGUAGCGUGAAGGAUGACUGCCCUAUGGGUUGUAAACUUCUUUUAUAAAGGAAUAAAGUCGGGUAUGGAUACCCGUUUGCAUGUACUUUAUGAAUAAGGAUCGGCUAACUCCGUGCCAGCAGCCGCGGUAAUACGGAGGAUCCGAGCGUUAUCCGGAUUUAUUGGGUUUAAAGGGAGCGUAGAUGGAUGUUUAAGUCAGUUGUGAAAGUUUGCGGCUCAACCGUAAAAUUGCAGUUGAUACUGGAUAUCUUGAGUGCAGUUGAGGCAGGCGGAAUUCGUGGUGUAGCGGUGAAAUGCUUAGAUAUCACGAAGAACUCCGAUUGCGAAGGCAGCCUGCUAAGCUGCAACUGACAUUGAGGCUCGAAAGUGUGGGUAUCAAACAGGAUUAGAUGCCCUGGUAGUCCACACGGUAAACGAUGAAUACUCGCUGUUUGCGAUAUACAGCAAGCGGCCAAGCGAAAGCGUUAAGUAUUCCACCUGGGGAGUACGCCGGCAACGGUGAAACUCAAAGGAAUUGACGGGGGCCCGCACAAGCGGAGGAACAUGUGGUUUAAUUCGAUGAUACGCGAGGAACCUUACCCGGGCUUAAAUUGCAGAUGAAUUACGGUGAAAGCCGUAAGCCGCAAGGCAUCUGUGAAGGUGCUGCAUGGUUGUCGUCAGCUCGUGCCGUGAGGUGUCGGCUUAAGUGCCAUAACGAGUGCAACCCUUGUUGUCAGUUACUAACAGGUUCCGCUGAGGACUCUGACAAGACUGCCAUCGUAAGAUGUGAGGAAGGUGGGGAUGACGUCAAAUCAGCACGGCCCUUACGUCCGGGGCUACACACGUGUUACAAUGGGGGGUACAGAGGGCCGCUACCACGCGAGUGGAUGCCAAUCCCAAAAACCUCUCUCAGUUCGGACUGGAGUCUGCAACCCGACUCCACGAAGCUGGAUUCGCUAGUAAUCGCGCAUCAGCCACGGCGCGGUGAAUACGUUCCCGGGCCUUGUACACACCGCCCGUCAAGCCAUGGGAGCCGGGGGUACCUGAAGUGCGUAACCGCGAGGAGCGCCCUAGGGUAAAACUGGUGACUGGGGCUAAGU